rnacentral:rRNA from 1 species
UAGACCGCCUGGGGAGUACGGCCGCAAGGUUAAAACUCAAAUGAAUUGACGGGGGCCCGCACAAGCGGUGGAGCAUGUGGUUUAAUUCGAUGCAACGCGAAGAACCUUACCUGGUCUUGACAUCCACGGAAGUUUUCAGAGAUGAGAAUGUGCCUUCGGGAACCGUGAGACAGGUGCUGCAUGGCUGUCGUCAGCUCGUGUUGUGAAAUGUUGGGUUAAGUCCCGCAACGAGCGCAACCCUUAUCCUUUGUUGCCAGCGGUCCGGCCGGGAACUC